CAAAAUGGCUGCAUUGGUAUUAUAUUUGUGCAGUUUUGUAGAAUCUGAACUGUACACAGACUGCUGUGUGCAGUGAGGAUGGAAAUCCACAGCAGCAUCCUGGAAAUGGUCUAGUGCCAUGGAUGAGACCCUCCAUGACUCCACCUGUCCUUACUGCCUCAUUUGGGCUGGAUGUUACUGUGGCCUCUUCGUCAUCAGGACUCGUAAUCACCCUGCAGCAACCUGGAAAAAAGAGUCUUGCUGAAGGACACACUGGUGGUGAGGACUGCGGAGAUCGAAGCAGUAACCUUUUGCUUACCAGUUCAGAGGGUUUGCCCACUACACCGCGACAGUAGUUGUGCUCAUGGAGAGCAGGCACAAAAAUGUUUGGAGCAGACACAGCUGCAGCCAUAUUGACCCGCACAUGUUCUCCCACUCUUGCCUGAGGGCUGUGUGGUACAGAGGGCAUCUUCAUAGUCUUCCUCAUCCUCUUUGUGGACUCUGGCAACGAUAGCCUCAAUGUCCAUUUUCCAUCCAUGAUCAGAUUCCAGUCUUAUUGAAGCAAUGAGGGUUGUGAUGGAUGGCAGAGACAGGUGAAGGUGGGCAUGGUGGUCAGCUGCUUCAUCAGAAUAAAGCUGCACAAUUGGCACAGCUGUGUUGAGAUGGCAGUAGUAUGUGGGGUUCACCAUCUGAAAAUACAUCAUUGUUAGAACAAUACGUUUUUGAAUAAAGCUUUGUUUCAUGUGUUGACUUGUAUAUGUAUGUUUUUGUGAUUGUUACUUUUAUUCAUUCUUUUACUCAUUUA